GUGAACGCUGGCGGUAGGCCUAACACAUGCAAGUCGAACGGCAGCACAGUAAGAGCUUGCUCUUACGGGUGGCGAGUGGCGGACGGGUGAGGAAUACAUCGGAAUCUACUUUUUCGUGGGGGAUAACGUAGGGAAACUUACGCUAAUACCGCAUACGACCUACGGGUGAAAGCAGGGGAUCUUCGGACCUUGCGCGAUUGAAUGAGCCGAUGUCGGAUUAGCUAGUUGGCGGGGUAAUGGCCCACCAAGGCGACGAUCCGUAGCUGGUCUGAGAGGAUGAUCAGCCACACUGGAACUGAGACACGGUCCAGACUCCUACGGGAGGCAGCAGUGGGGAAUAUUGGACAAUGGGCGCAAGCCUGAUCCAGCCAUACCGCGUGGGUGAAGAAGGCCUUCGGGUUGUAAAGCCCUUUUGUUGGGAAAGAAAAGCAGCAGGUUAAUACCCCGCUGUUCUGACGGUACCCAAAGAAUAAGCACCGGCUAACUUCGUG
rnacentral:rRNA from 1 species